CUGAUCUUGAAAUUAUCAGUUGAUGAAUGUCUUAACAGACAAUGGCUCACACAUUUUCUGGAGACAUUCAUUCUUAUAUGUCUUAACAGACAUUCCUUCUCUUAACAUUGUCGUGAUAUUUUUCUUAUAUCAAUCUGCCAUAGAUAAAUCUGUAUGCUUCUCGUCAUUCAAGUUUUGUUGAUUCAACUUCAUUUAGAUAAAAUAGAGUUCUCAUAUAUCAGCAACACGUGAUUAGGGAGAGAAAUCAGCAGACGAAUUGGAUUUUGGAGUGGUUUCAAAUGCAGCCAGUCAUUACAUAAUAAGGAAAUAGUUAAGGACCUCUUUAUAGGUUAUUUUUCGUGCUUCCCGUUGUGCACAGCUUGGCUUUUUUGCCAAUUGACCCCGGUGGAAACUAAUUGUUUCUUGAGUUCUAUAGUUGGCCUGGACUAGAGAAAGAGUUCAUACAUUACAUACAUAUUUAUUCAAUUGUAUAUAGUCUGUUGUAAAGUAAUCUACAUAUGGUUGGAAACUCAAUGUAAUUAGCUCGUACAUUUUACGUACAAUUUCUUUAUAGAAUUUUUGAUAAAAAGCUAUCAUAACUCAAUGA
rnacentral:lncRNA from 1 species